GGAAUAUAGCUCAGUUGGUAGAGUGCUUGCCUGGCAUGCGCAAGACCCUGGGUUCAAUUCCCAGCACCCCA
rnacentral:tRNA from 1 species